UUCAAGAGAGGAAAACAGCUUGCCAUCAACACAUAAAAAGAAAAAAGAGGAAAAGACCCAGGAAGACCUUUCCUCAAACAAGAAAACCAGGGAGGUCACAUUGAUUGUGUGAUGCUGACUUUGAGUGACAGGAAUCUUGGAAGGAGACCAUGAUACCUAGAUUUUCAGUCCUUUUGACGGGAAGAAUAGCUAUUCCAUUUACACUACAGAAAUGUAAGAACAAAACAAAAAGAAGCAGCAGCAGCAACAGCAACAUCACUGGCAGCACUAACAGAAAUAAACACAAGGGAGUCAGACCGAACAGAAUACAUAGCCUCUUUUGUUGGACAGUG